rnacentral:rRNA from 1 species
UGAAGAGCUUGCUUUUCAGAGUUAGUGGCGGACGGGUGAGUAACGCGUGGGUAACCUGCCUCAUACAGGGGGAUAACAGUUAGAAAUGACUGCUAAUACCGCAUAAGCGCACAGCUUCGCAUGAAGCAGUGUGAAAAACUCCGGUGGUAUGAGAUGGACCCGCGUCUGAUUAGCUAGUUGGUGGGGUAACGGCCUACCAAGGCGACGAUCAGUAGCCGGCCUGAGAGGGUGAACGGUCACAUUGGGACUGAGACACGGCCCAAACUCC